rnacentral:rRNA from 2 species
ACCGGCAGCCCAAGUGGUGGCCAUUUUUAUUGGGCCUAAAGCGUUCGUAGCCGGCCUGAUAAGUCUCUGGUGAAAUCCCGCAGCUUAACUGUGGGAAUUGCUGGAGAUACUAUCAGGCUUGAGGUCGGGAGAGGUUAGAGGUACUCCCAGGGUAGGGGUGAAAUCCUAUAAUCCUGGGAGGACCACCUGUGGCGAAGGCGUCUAACUGGAACGAACCUGACGGUGAGUAACGAAAGCCAGGGGCGCGAACCG